UACGGCCACAUAACGUUGAAACACCGGUUCCCGUACAAUCACACUAGUUCAGCAACGUCGAGCCUGGCCAGUAUCUAGAUGGGUGACCGCUUGGGAAUACCAAAGGCUGUAAG